rnacentral:rRNA from 1 species
CCUACGGGUGGCAGCAGUGGGGAAUAUUGCACAAUGGGGGAAACCCUGAUGCAGCGACGCCGCGUGAAGGAAGAAGUAUUUCGGUAUGUAAACUUCUAUCAGCAGGGAAGCAAAUGGCGGUACCUGACUAAGAAGCCCCGGCUAACUACGUGCCAGCAGCCGCGGUAACACGUCGGGGGCAAGCGUUAUCCGGAUUUACUGGGUGUAAAGGGAGCGUAGGCGGGGAUGCAAGUCAGAAGUGAAAGCCCGGGGGUCAACUCCGGGACUGCUUUUGAAACUGUAUGGCUAGAUUGCAGGAGAGGCAAGUGGAAUGCGUGGUGUAGCGGUGAAAUGCGUAGAUAUUAGGAGGAACACCAGUGGCGAAGGCGGCUUGCUGGACUGUAAAUGACGCUGAGGCUCGAAAGCGUGGGGAGCAAACAGGAUUAGAUACCCUUGUAGUC